GAAUUUGAACAAUUGCCGAGUAUAAAAAAUUUCAUAUCUGUUGAUGGAUAUCUUGAUAUAGAAGCUCAAAAUCUGCAAAAAGGAAAACACAAAAGAGAUGCAGUUUCAGUUCGCAAAUACUACUGUUACAAACUUCAGAUGAGAAACGAUGAUAAAGAUGAAAUUUUGCAUACAGGAAGAUUACUCCAGCAGUAUUCAGUAGAUGAAUAUAUAAAAUUGGAGACACAAAGAUUAGACUUUGUUUCAUUCAAUCAAGAUUUAUUCAGAAUGGGUAUACUGGAGGGACUUCUUGAUAUUCUAAGACUUGGUGAACGAGAUGCUUCUAAUGUUGGAAAACAAAAUUUUCUGCCAAAUUCUUUUAUAGGAAGUCCUAGAGAUAUGCAUCAGCAUUAUAUGGAUGCUAUUGCAUUAGUGCAACAUUUCGAAAAACCUGAUUUGUUUAUAACUAUGACAUGUAACCCAUCUUGGACAGAAAUAAAAGAACAUCUAUGGUCAACUAACGAGGCACAAAAUAGACCUGAUUUGGUUACUCGAGUGUUCAAGGCUAAAAUAGAAGAACUAAAGACGGAUAUAUUAAAAAGAAAUAUCUUUGGAAAAGUUAUUGCUUUUAUGAUUUGGUUACUCGGAUGUUCAAGGCUAAAAUAGAAGAACUGAAGAUGGAUAUAUUAAAAUGAAAUAUCUUUGGAAAAGUUGUUACUUUUAUGUACACUAAGGAGUUUCAGAAAUGAGGUUUACCCCAUGCUCAUUUUCUUGUUAUACUAGGUAAUGAGCACAAACUACUGACAAUAGAGGCAUACGAUGAUAUUAUUAGCGUUACAAAAAUUUGUAACACUUUGUAGUCUUCGAUUAUUGAUUCUUCAAAUUGCUCCCAUAAUUUUCUAGGGUUGGCAGGGUUGCAAUAUACCAAUAAUGUAGCAAAUAAACGCCUUAAACUAUAUGGCAUUUGGUAACUUGCAGCUUCAAACAUACACUAUAUCAAACUAUUAUCACAUUGUAACAAUCCUCUUUUCUCUACGGACUCUCUGAAAGCACUACAAGGCUCUCCAUUCACUGUCAAAAGAUCCUUAUAUGAUGUUGGUCCUCUUACAUGUAUUAGUAGUAAUCUAAGAUAAUAUCGUUCUCCUUCUAUUGGAUGACAUGUCACAAUGCGGCCAACAACACAACGCUUUUGUCUACGUUCCCAAAAUUUAUCACUGAAGGACCACACAAAUUAUUCAGGAAAUUCUUUAUACAUUAAAUUGAGCUCUUUAGCAUCUUCAUUAGUUUCGUUCAUGGAGAAAAAUUCCGUUAACAUUAUUUUUUGAAUCUUCGGAUUAUUCACAAUUGUGUGUAUAUCCGCAUUGCUCUUAAAAGAAAUAAAUUAUUGACCUUCAAGAUGUAGUUGAAGAAGAUAAACACUGGGAGACAUUUCACUUAUUGGAAAACCAAAGAGACACCAAACAACUUCUGGAGGUGAUACCCAUCUAGCAGAUCGAUAUUCUUUUAUCUUAUCUAUUUCUAUGUUUGUAUCAUUAUUUUGUACACAAAAUGGAAUCUUAUCAUGUUCUUUACAAAUGUAUUUGUAGAGAUAUUUCACGACCUUGAUGUCAGAGCAAACUUCAACAUUUAAAUGACAAUUGAAUUUGAACAACCCAGGAGAUAUCUAAAUAUCGUUCUCUUACUUUCACAACUUCCCCUGUAUUUCGUCUUCUAUAGACUGGAUAAGAAUCGUUUCCUUUUAUUGUCUGAUCGGCAAACAUUUUUGGAUAUUUGAACUUGCAGUAACCUUUUUUUUCAUAGAAGAAUUUGUUGGGUCUAAACUACCGCAAGGACCGAGCAUCAUAUGUUUGAUGACAAGCUUGCGCAAAUCUGUGUUUGUCUUAUCAUCUGGUAAUUCUGCUAUAAUAAUAUCAUCGUAUGCUUCUGUUGUUAGCAGUUUGUGCUCAUUACCUAGUAUAAUAAGAAAAUGAGCAUGGGGUAAAUCUCGUUUAUGAAACUCCACAAUGUACAUAAAAGAAACAACUUUUCCAAAGAUAUUUCAUUUUAAUAUACCCGUCUUCAGUUCUUCUAUUAUAGCCUUAAACACUCGAGUAAUCAAAUCAGGUCUAUUUUGUGCCUCGUCAAUUGACCAUAGAUGUUCUUUUAUUUCUGUCCAAGAUGGGUUACAUGUCAUAGUUAUAAACAAAUUAGGUUUUCCGAAAUGUUGCACUAAUGCAAUAGCAUCCAUAUAACGCUAACGUAUAUCUCUAGGACCUCCUAUAAAGGAAUUUGGCAAUUUUGUUUUCCAACAUUACAAGCAUCUCGUUCACCAAACCUUAGAAUAUCAAGAAGUCCAUGCAGUAUACACAUUCUAAAUAAAUCUUGAUUGAAUGAAAUAAAGUCUAAUCUUUGUGUCUCCAAUUUUAUAUAUUCAUCAACUGAAUACUGUAAUCUUCCUGUAUGUAAAAUUUCAUCUUCAUCAUCGUUUCUCAUCUGAAGUUUGUAACAGUAGUAUUCGCGAACUAAAACUGCAUCUCUUUUGCGUUUUCCUUUUUCCAGAUUUUGAGCUUCUACAUCAAGACAUCCAUCAACAGAUGUGAAAUUUUUUAUACUUGGCAAUUGUGCAAAUUAAGCCAGAGUGCGACUUCUACGAAUAUUUUUUGCUUUGGGAAACUUUUUAAUACCAAAAUGCCAUCCGUCUUGAUCAUAUGGAAAUAACAAUGAGUACUAUAACGGGUCAUAACAUCAAAAAUAGUAGUGCACUCUUUGUGUCCUGUCACUGUGAGUAUAAAUUUGAAGAUGUGGUGCAUGAGUAGUAGAACCAUCAUUUUCAUCAACCCAUAUUGCUGCAAUUUCAGUAGUAAUAGGUAAAUUAUAUACGCGUUGAUCCAAUCCAGCAUCACUUUUCAGUGCUAUAUGAAAGUUUUGCAAGUUUGACAUGUCUGCCAAGGAUUGUAGAAAUAUUGAGUACGGAUUAUCCUUUAGUAUGUCCAUCAAUUCUUUCAUUAUUAAUUCAUUUAAUUUGUCUGAACAAGCCAUUCUAUUUCCAAGCUCAUUUGCAUUAUUAUACCUUCUUAAACUGCUGUAGCAACUCAACUGUGUGCCUCAAAAAUAAAAGUGUAGGUUCAGUACAAACGUAGGUUUUCAGUCAUACAGCUCUAAAUAUUUACAAUAACCAACAAAAAAACAAUCAGGGAAAACUUUUGUUAAUGUAGCAAUCGUUUAAGUUUAUCUUUUCGUUAUGAUUGACUGUUGUUACCUAAUUAGGCUUUGGCUGUGCGCUAAUCCAUUUUGGCUUACUUUGUAGCUUUUCUUCUUAUCAUUUAGAAAUAUUAAUAAAAGCAGGAUAGAUCUAUUAAUCAUUAUCACCAUCUAAUUAUUACUUAAAAUGAAAAAACAUAGUGACAGUGGAAUAUUGUAUGGAAAAAACUUCAGUGAUAUAGUUAAUCGAGACAUUGUCUUCUUACGUUGAAAGGAAGAUAUUUGGAACAAAGUAACAUCAUGUAGCAUUCAUUUAAUGCACAGGAAAUAGUAGAAGAAAUCACAAAUUUUACUUUCUUCAUUACUUUCUUUUACUGCAGAUUCGCAUAUUUGGUAUCUGGUAAUAGGGCUUACAACAAUGAUCUUCUUUCUUCUCUGUACCUUAAUUUUGAGACAGUGACAUUACUCUUUCUGUAGAGAAUAAUUUUAUGAGUAUUUUCAAUGCACAAUGUGUUGUAUAUUGACCAGGACUGCAACUUAUUUUUGGCUUUGUAGAACUACAGAUGCUUCUCUUACAUUCGGUACCACCAAAAUAAUCGCUCAAUGGGCUUAGCACUGCACAGUUAUGCUAUUGUGCUAGAGGAGAGAAAGAGGUCUUUUGCAAAGUGAGACAUUGCAAUGCUUCAAAAGGAUGUAGAUUUUGCAAGCGUAAUGUUCUGAUACAAGAAAUGGACGUUCCCAUUGCCGCACUUCGACAAGGGGAGAGCUCUAUAAAUGACAACAACAAUGUGGUUCCAAAUUUAUCUUGCCUAGAUAAGAGUCAAUCAGAUAUGCAGUUCCCAAUAGAAGCAUAUUAGUGAAAUAUAUUAUUUUCAGUAACCUAUAAAUUAUGGCUGAGUUAUUAUUCCAUAAUAUUGUAGGCUUUAAUGAAGAAUGCCUCUCUUAGAUUGGUUGAGAUGAAUACUCCAGUUUCUCAUUUCAAUCAAAAUCGGGCUACUUUGGAA